rnacentral:misc_RNA from 1 species
GAUGAAGAACGCAGCGAAAUGCGAUAAGUAAUGUGAAUUGCAGAAUUCAGUGAAUCAUCGAAUCUUUGAACGCACAUUGCGCCCCCUGGUAUUCCGGGGGGCAUGCCUGUCCGAGCGUCAUUACAACCCUCAAGCUCAGCUUGGUAUUGGGCCCCGCCGACCCGGCGGGCCCUAAAGUCAGUGGCGGUGCCGUCCGGCUCCGAGCGUAGUAAUUCUUCUCGCUCUGGAGGUCCGGUCGUGUGCUCGCCAGCAACCCCCAAUUUUUUUCAGGUUGACCUCGGAUCAGGUAGGGAUACCCGCUGAACUUAAGCAUAUCAAUAAGCGGAGA